UAAGGAAUAUUGGACAAUGGACGCAAGUCUGAUCCAGCCAUGCCGCGUGAAGGAUGAAUGCCCUCUGGGUUGUAAACUUCUUUUACAGGGGAAGUAAGUUAUCUUUUUUAGGAUAUUUGACGGUACCCUAUGAAUAAGCACCGGCUAACUCCGUGCCAGCAGCCGCGGUAAUACGGAGGGUGCAAGCGUUAUCCGGAUUCACUGGGUUUAAAGGGUGCGUAGGCGGGUAUGUAAGUCAGUGGUGAAAUACCGGAGCUUAACUUCGGAACUGCCAUUGAUACUAUAUAUCUUGAAUAUUGUGGAGGUAAGCGGAAUAUGUCAUGUAGCGGUGAAAUGCUAAGAGAUGACAUAGAACACCGAUUGCGAAGGCAGCUUGCUACGCAAAUAUUGACGCUGAGGCACGAAAGCGUGGGGAUCAAACAGG
rnacentral:rRNA from 1 species